UAUAAAGCUUUUUAAUGGGUUGAGGUAAGUGCGGGAUGGAUGAAAUUGCUCAGUACCAUCUAAUCUGGCAAUCUGGAUUAUGAUCGGUUCAACUAUUUUGUGGUUCCACUUCUACUAAUUGAAGUCGGUGAGUUGGUGUAUGCUUGAAGUGAGUCUGGUUCUUGCUUCAAUUCCCCCUGUUUCACCUCCAGAUCUACUCAUCGGGAGAUGGAUUCCUUGCAUUGAGAGGCUGGUAGGGGUGCUCGUUUAGCACAUGAUUUUUUUUCUUACUUUUGAUUCUUAUAAGCCUUUUGGACUUAGGUGAUCAUUGGUACACGAUGCAGGUCUGACGCUGUUGUUGAUAAUCAUCCAUACCUAUGCUGGACGUGGACGAAGUACACACAUGUACACGCAGCUUUUUUUUGAUCCGUUGCAUAUCAAAGUAUGAGUAGAUAUAUCACAGUCCUCUGUAAAUACCUACAGUUCCUUGCUUUGUGCGAAAUUGACCUUUGGUAAUUUGUGUUCACUUUUUACUUGUAUGUGUGCGAAUUUAUAACCUGGAUAUUUUUCCUACUAGGCUUCAUUCAGACGAUGGACUGUCUUGCUCUACUUCGAAAUCGAAACAGGUGAGUCGUGUCCUUUUUAGGAUUGAACCAACUAAAGUGAAACCAAGAUACAGUUUCUGCAGCACUUAUGAGCAAAUUGUACAGGGGAAAGACAGGCGGCUGCUGCAGAACAAGGGAAGGAGUAGCAGCUAUCUGCUGUUUCAGUUGUUUAUGUGCGCUGAAGAUUGUUUGCACCCGUACCCUGAAGAAAGAAG
rnacentral:lncRNA from 1 species